rnacentral:rRNA from 1 species
UGAAGGCUCUUUGAGUCGUAAACUUCUGUAGAGAGGGAAGAAUGUCCCGUUCUUCGGGAUUGACGGUACCUCUAAAGUAAGGAUCGGCCAACUACGUGC